GGGUCUUAACAGAGUUAAACAAUAUUCUCUUAGAAACUAUCAUCCACUCCUUACGGGUAUAAAUGGUUAACUGUAAUUAUAAAUACACAAUAACAGCACUGAAAUGUAUAAACAAACUUGUUUCAUUUUAGGUCCAGUUUAAUCUCUGGUCAUGUGUAAAAUCCAAUGGAAGUGGUUCACAGGGUCCAACAGUAGACUGGCACAGUGAGAAGACCAACCAAAUGAGCCGGAAACAAACACUCACAAACUAGAAACAACUAGAAGAAGUCGGGU